rnacentral:tRNA from 1 species
GGCCUCGUAGCUCAAGUGGCUAGAGCUUUGGUUUACUAAAGCCUUCUCCUUGCUGGCGUGGGUUUGAAUCACACUGAGGCUC